GAACGCUAGCUACAGGCUUAACACAUGCAAGUCGAGGGGCAGCAUUUUAGUUUGCUUGCAAACUAAAGAUGGCGACCGGCGCACGGGUGAGUAACACGUAUCCAACCUGCCGAUAACUCGGGGAUAGCCUUUCGAAAGAAAGAUUAAUAUCCGAUGGUAUAUUAAAACCGCAUGGUUUUACUAUUAAAGAAUUUCGGUUAUCGAUGGGGAUGCGUUCCAUUAGUUUGUUGGCGGGGUAACGGCCCACCAAGACUACGAUGGAUAGGGGUUCUGAGAGGAAGGUCCCCCACAUUGGAACUGAGACACGGUCCAAACUCCUACGGGAGGCAGCAGUGAGGAAUAUUGGUCAAUGGACGAGAGUCUGAACCAGCCAAGUAGCGUGAAGGAUGACUGCCCUAUGGGUUGUAAACUUCUUUUAUAUGGGAAUAAAGUUUUCCACGCGUGGAAUUUUGUAUGUACCAUAUGAAUAAGGAUCGGCUAACUCCGUGCCAGCAGCCGCGGUAAUACGGAGGAUCCGAGCGUUAUCCGGAUUUAUUGGGUUUAAAGGGAGUGUAGGUGGAUUGUUAAGUCAGUUGUGAAAGUUUGCGGCUCAACCGUAAAAUUGCAGUUGAAACUGGCAGUCUUGAGUACAGUAGAGGUGGGCGGAAUUCGUGGUGUAGCGGUGAAAUGCUUAGAUAUCACGAAGAACUCCGAUUGCGAAGGCAGCUCACUAGACUGCAACUGACACUGAUGCUCGAAAGUGUGGGUAUCAAACAGGAUUAGAUACCCUGGUAGUCCACACAGUAAACGAUGAAUACUCGCUGUUUGCGAUAUACAGUAAGCGGCCAAGCGAAAGCAUUAAGUAUUCCACCUGGGGAGUACGCCGGCAACGGUGAAACUCAAAGGAAUUGACGGGGGCCCGCACAAGCGGAGGAACAUGUGGUUUAAUUCGAUGAUACGCGAGGAACCUUACCCGGGCUUAAAUUGCAUUUGAAUAAUCUGGAAACAGGUUAGCCGCAAGGCAAAUGUGAAGGUGCUGCAUGGUUGUCGUCAGCUCGUGCCGUGAGGUGUCGGCUUAAGUGCCAUAACGAGCGCAACCCUUAUCUUUAGUUACUAACAGGUCAUGCUGAGGACUCUAGAGAGACUGCCGUCGUAAGAUGUGAGGAAGGUGGGGAUGACGUCAAAUCAGCACGGCCCUUACGUCCGGGGCUACACACGUGUUACAAUGGGGGGUACAGAAGGCAGCUACCUGGCGACAGGAUGCUAAUCCCAAAAACCUCUCUCAGUUCGGAUCGAAGUCUGCAACCCGACUUCGUGAAGCUGGAUUCGCUAGUAAUCGCGCAUCAGCCAUGGCGCGGUGAAUACGUUCCCGGGCCUUGUACACACCGCCCGUCAAGCCAUGAAAGCCGGGGGUACCUGAAGUACGUAACCGCAAGGAGCGUCCUAGGGUAAAACUGGUAAUUGGGGC
rnacentral:rRNA from 1 species